GUGGGGAAUUUUGGACAAUGGGCGCAAGCCUGAUCCAGCAAUGCCGCGUGCAGGAAGAAGGCCUUCGGGUUGUAAACUGCUUUUGUACGGAACGAAACGGUCCUGGCUAAUAUCCGGGGCUAAUGACGGUACCGUAAGAAUAAGCACCGGCUAACUACGUGCCAGCAGCCGCGGUAAUACGUAGGGUGCGAGCGUUAAUCGGAAUUACUGGGCGGAAAGCGUGCGCAGGCGGUGCUGUAAGACAGGCGUGAAAUCCCCGGGCUCAACCUGGGAAUUGCGCUUGUGACUGCAGUGCUGGAGUGCGGCAGAGGGGGAUGGAAUUCCGCGUGUAGCAGUGAAAUGCGUAGAUAUGCGGAGGAACACCGAUGGCGAAGGCAAUCCCCUGGGCCUGCACUGACGCUCAUGCACGAAAGCGUGGGGAGCAAACAGGAUUAGAUACCCGUGUAGUCC
rnacentral:rRNA from 1 species